rnacentral:rRNA from 1 species
UACGGAGGAUGCAAGCGUUAUCCGGAAUGAUUGGGCGUAAAGCGUCCGCAGGUGGCUAUGUAAGUCUGCUGUUAAAGAGUGAGGCUCAACCUCAUAAGAGCAGUGGAAACUACAUGGCUAGAGUGCGUUCGGGGCAGAGGGAAUUCCUGGUGUAGCGGUGAAAUGCGUAGAGAUCAGGAAGAACACCGGUGGCGAAGGCGACUACCUGGCCUGUUUCUUGACGCUGAGGCGCGAAAGCUAGGGGAGCAAACGGG